rnacentral:lncRNA from 1 species
GAUUCAAAUGUCAAUCUUGUCUGGAAACACCAUCAUAGACAUAUGCAGAACUCCUGAUUAACCAAAUAUCUGGGUAUCCCUUGACCCAGUCAAGCUGAUACAUUAAAUAAACUGUCAUGGUGCCUAUGGCCAGGAUAGCCGGACUGAAUACAGAGCCUCUAAUCUCAGAAUCUGUUCAUAAUGUCACCUUAUAAGCAGUGGAAAUUGUGUAACAGAUAAAGUUUAGCUAAGAAGACAACUGGUUCUGCAAAUAAUGUUCAUGGCAGACAAUCUAUUUACAAUGCAAAACACCAAUCUAAUAAAAAAUAUUACUGUGGCCAAAAUAAAAUGAAGCAAACGUUAAUAAUAAUCAGGACAAACUCUGAAGGUGACUCACAUUGAAUCUCCAGAGGAGAUUUUCAGUGAGCUGGCUAAGCCUGUCCCCCAUUUAAGUAUGUGAUUUUGAAUGCUUGCUUUUGCUAAGCACAUUUGUAAAUAAAUAUAUGUAGAAGUCAUGGAUCCUGACUCAAGAAGCUUACAGGAGAAUAUGACUAACAUGACAUAUACAUAAAUAAUUUAAAUAUACAAGUAGAUUGUGAUGGUUAAUAUUGAGUAUCAACUUAAUUGGAUUGAAGGAUGCAGGAAUUGUUUCUGGGUCUGUCUGUGAGGGUGCUGUUGAAGGAGAUUAAAAUUUGAGUGAGUGAACUGGGAAGGGCAGACCCACCCUCAAUCUGAGUCGGCACAAUCUAAUCAGCUGCCAGUGCGGCCAGAAUAAAAGCAGCCAGAAGAAUGUGAAAAGACUAUACUGGCUUAGCCUCCAAGCCUACAUCUUUCUCCUGUGCUGAAUGCUUCCUGCCCUCAAACAUCAGGCUCCAAGUUCUUCAGCUUUGCUAAUCUGACUGCCUUCCUCGCUCCUCAGCUUGCAAACGGACUAUUGUGGAGACUCACUUUGUGACAAUGAUAAUGCUAGAAAUGAUUUCAAUUGCUCCAUUAUCAGACUGAUGAAUGACUGAACAAUGAUUAUGGUCUCCCACACUCAUUCUCAGGAGAAUACUUCUCCCUUCCUGGAUUUGAAGAAGCGAGUAGUCUUGUUAAAAAGGCCCAUGUGGCGAAGAAGUGAGGGUGACUGCUGUCCAACAGCAAGAAAAUGAGAUCCUCGGCUCACCUAGCCAUGAAGGACUGAAUGCUGACAUCAACCGCGGGGUUAAUGAUGAUGAUUUCACAAUCGUGACACAGAAGCCACCAGUUCUCCUCUACACAUCUUCAGCACUUUAAUGGCAAAUCAAUUUGUAACCAGUUAAUAGCUGUAAAGUUUAUUACAUGUCUCUGUUGACUUCUCAACUAUAUAGUCUAUUAAAAAUAGGGAAUGGGUCUUCUGAACUACAGAAGUAUUAAAUUGAUACUAACAGAAUGCCAACAUGUGAUAAAACAUUUAUAUACAUAUAUGUGUGUGUAUGUAUGUAUAUAUGAAGAUUUUAUAUAUAUAUAAUAUUCAAUCAAAGAGACUGUCUUCAAUAAAAUUUAAAUGAGAAAAAUAAAU